ensembl:misc_RNA 7SK 7SK RNA
GGAUGUUAGGGUGGUCUGGCCACGACAUCUGUCACCCCACUGAUCUCCAGGGUUGAUUCGGCUGAUCUGGCUGGCUAGACAAGUGUCCCCUUCCUCCCUCUCUGCUCUAUAUGUGUCCCUCCCAAAGCUGCAUGAUCAGAUGGAAGAGGACAACCACCCAAUAAAGGAGGACUAUUUCCUCAUCAAGGGUACACAAGUACCUGUGCUCCCCUUCUACAACCUCCAAACAGGUUCUCAAGAACAUAAUCCUAAAAAGCAAUUCAAUGUUUCACGUACAAAGAUGUUCGUCAU